rnacentral:rRNA from 1 species
CGGUAACYYCAGCUCCAGUAGUGUAUAUUAAUACUGCUGCAGUUAAAAAGCCCGUAKUCUAUGUAGGCUGCGGUGGGGGGCGUAUUGUGCUCUUUUUGACGGUAGGGGGCGUUCGCACUUGCCCAUACCAAACCCGCUGCAGCCUGGCAGUUGGCUCAGGGGGCGUUCCAUGAAUAAUGGGGCGUCCCAUGUAGGGGAAGGACAAUUGUUUUACAGUGCCUUGAGGUAAUCAACGUGCUUCAAGCAGGUUUUGACAACCCUUGCAUGGAUUGCAUGGCAUGCUUAGAGGAGCCGGGGCGCAGGUGAAGAGAGAAUUCAUGAAGGUUGUCUGUUUGGAGUCUCAUUGGUGUAUGCAGAACGCGCUAUGUUCGAGAGGGGCUAGUUUAGACAUCGGUACUGCGAUGAUAGGGGUGAAAUCCAGUGACCAUCUCAUGAUCAGCUGCUGCGAAGGCGGUUGUAUGUCAUGUCCCCUCUGAUAAAGGACUAAGGAUUGGCUCUCAAAGGCGAUCAGAUACCGCUGUAGUCCAAUCAGUAAAUGAUGCCAACUAGACCAAGGGCUUAGAUUCAUGCAGAUAAUUGGCUCUUGGUCUUAGAGAAAUCAAAGUGGAUGGGCUCCGGGGGGAGUAUGGUCGCAAGGCUGAAACUUAAAGGAAUUGACGGAAGGGCACCACAAGGUGUGGAGCCUGCGGCUU